UACGUAGGCAGCGAGCGUUGUUCGGAGUUACUGGGCGUAAAGAGUGCGUAGGCGGUGCGGUAAGUCUGGUGUGAAAUCUCCCGGCUCAACCGGGAGGGUGCGCCGGAAACUGGGCUGCUUGAGUGCCGGAGAGGCAGGCGGAAUUCCUGGUGUAGCGGUGAAAUGCGUAGAUAUCAGGAGGAACACCCGUGGUGUAGACGGCCUGCUGGACGGCAACUGACGCUGAGGCACGAAAGCGUGGGGAGCAAACAGG
rnacentral:rRNA from 1 species